GGGUGUACAGCUCAGUGGUAGAGCAUGUGCUUAGCAUGCAGGAGGUCCUGAGUGCAACCCCCGGUACUUCCA
rnacentral:tRNA from 1 species